CACUCUGUGUGGGGAACAUGAGAGCCAGACCAAAGCUCAGAGCCCAGAGCUGUGGGGCGUACCAGGCUCAGCUGGACAUAACCCUGAAACUAAUCCAGAGCCUGGACCUGAACCCAGCUGUGUUUCCUUAAAGAGCAACGAGUCGAAGGAUGUUGCUGUAUGCUUUAAAGGCUGUUCUUCUGCUGCUGAGAGAGUGGACCAGCAGAGAGCAGAGGUUUCCACUGGUCAGUCUGCACAGUAACAUCAAACACACCU